rnacentral:tRNA from 1 species
AGCGAAUAUGAUGAAAUGGUAAACAUACGGUUCUUAGGAAGCCGUGCCAAUAAAGGCUUGUGAGUUCAAGUCUCACUAUUCGUA